rnacentral:rRNA from 1 species
UAGGGAAUCUUCGGCAAUGGACGAAAGUCUGACCGAGCAACGCCGCGUGAGUGAAGAAGGUUUUCGGAUCGUAAAACUCUGUUGUUAGAGAAGAACAAGGACGUUAGUAACUGAACGUCCCCUGACGGUAUCUAACCAGAAAGCCACGGCUAACUACGUGCCAGCAGCCGCGGUAAUACGUAGGUGGAAAGCGUUGUCCGGAUUUAUUGGGCGUAAAGCGAGCGCAGGCGGUUUCUUAAGUCUGAUGUGAAAGCCCCCGGCUCAACCGGGGAGGGUCAUUGGAAACUGGGAGACUUGAGUGCAGAAGAGGAGAGUGGAAUUCCAUGUGUAGCGGUGAAAUGCGUAGAUAUAUGGAGGAACACCAGUGGCGAAGGCGGCUCUCUGGUCUGUAACUGACGCUGAGGCGCGAAAGCGUGGGGAGCAAACAGG